CAUAUCAAUAAGCGGAGGAAAAGAAACUAACAAGGAUUCCCCUAGUAACGGCGAGUGAAGCGGGAAAAGCUCAAAUUUGAAAUCUGGCAGCCUCAGGUUGCCCGAGUUGUAAUCUAUAGAAACGUUUUCCGCGUUGGCCCAUGUACAAGUCUCCUGGAAUGGAGCGUCAUAGAGGGUGAGAAUCCCGUCCUUGACAUGGACUACCAGUGCUUUGUGAUACGUUUUCAAAGAGUCGAGUUGUUUGGGAAUGCAGCUCAAAAUGGGUGGUAAAUUCCAUCUAAAGCUAAAUAUUGGCGAGAGACCGAUAGCGAACAAGUACCGUGAGGGAAAGAUGAAAAGCACUUUGGAAAGAGAGUUAAACAGUAUGUGAAAUUGUUGAAAGGGAAACGAUUGAAGUCAGUCAUGUCUAUUGGACUCAGCCGGUUCUGCCGGUGUACUUCCUUUAGAUGGGGUCAACAUCAGUUUUGAUCGCUGGAAAAGGGCAGGAGGAAUGUAGCACUCUCGGGUGAACUUAUAGCCUUCUGUCGUAUACAGUGGUUGGGACUGAGGAACGCAGCAUGCCUUUAUGGCCGGGGUCGCCCACGUACAUGCUU
rnacentral:rRNA from 1 species